AUAUAUAAAUACUCACUUUAAAUUAAAUAAAAAUGUGAGUGAGAGGGUCUCAUUCACAUUUUUAUUUAAUUUAAAGUUUGAAAAAAAGUAAGUAUUUCAAAGUAUUUGGACAAUAAUCAUGUUUAAAAACAUGAUUAUUAAAUAUAUGCCUAUGGCAAUCAAUCGGACGGCGUGCCUGAUGGUAACUGGUAACGGCACCACUCUGGGUGACGCCUACCACAUGAACAGCUCUAUGGACAUCAUAUAAUAAACCUCGGUGGUUGGUUGGUGGGUUUAAUACAUUGUCUCAUUGUUACGGCAUUUCCGUAGUAUAGAAAUACUUGUAUGCAUAAAUAUAUAUUUAAAUAAUUUAUUAUUUCAAUCAAUUAUUUCGAACUCUUAGUACAUGUUUUGUUUUGCUUGGGACUUUAUAAUGCUGUGUGAUAUGACUGGCAGUACCUACUCGUAAUAGUACGGGUACUACUAAUACAAUAUGUAUGUUUGGUAGAAACCCGUUCGAUAUACGUUGUAUAUUUAAAACUUUUAGUUAGGAAUAUAAAGGUAUAAUUAUUCGAUAAGGAACCCUAAUUUUUUUAUUAUUAUUGCCAUUACGAAUAUUUUAUUAAAGUAAUUGCUUACUUGUUACUAUAUAAUUAAGGUCUUCAAUAUCAGGUGCAGUCUUGUUCAGUGGACCUAUAAUGAUGGGUGACGCCUAAUACGGAUGUUGAUUAGGUACUUGAUAUGUGAGUAUGUACGUACAUUGAAUACAUUUAUUAUUUUGAAGAUCAAGGACGGCUUUUUGUUGCAUUACGAGACAAAGUAGUUUGGGCGUGGUUGGGCUCAUUUUGUAUAUAAGACAUGUCCGAGUUUUGAAAUUUAUUACUUGUGUUAGUAACUCAAAGUAAAACUUCAACCAUGUUCUUCAGACUGUUUGCCCUCUUCGCUCUGGUGGCUGUUGCUUUCGCCAGCCCCAAGCCUGAGCCUCAAGUGCUGACUUACUCCGCACCCGGCGUACUACCAGUCGGUUACUCCGGAUAUUCUCCUGUUGCAUAUUCCGCUCCAUACGCCGCUGUCCCAUACGCGUACUCCGGAUACUAUGUUCGUUAACCUAUCACACAAUUGAAAAUUGCUAGAAAUAUGAUACCGAUUUGCCAAAUGAUAAUAUAGUUCAUGCUGCAUAA